rnacentral:rRNA from 1 species
UACGAAGGGUGCAAGCGUUACUCGGAAUUACUGGGCGUAAAGCGUGCGUAGGUGGUUCGUUAAGUCUGAUGUGAAAGCCCUGGGCUCAACCUGGGAAUGGCAUUGGAUACUGGCGACCUAGAGUGCGGUAGAGGGUAGCGGAAUUCCCGGUGUAGCAGUGAAAUGCGUAGAUAUCGGGAGGAACAUCUGUGGCGAAGGCGGCUACCUGGACCAGCACUGACACUGAGGCACGAAAGCGUGGGGAGCAAACAGG